AUACGUAGGGGGCGAGCGUUGUCCGGAAUCACUGGGCGUAAAGGGUGCGUAGGCGGUUGGUUAAGUCUCGUGGGAAAGGCCUCGGCUCAACUGAGGAGACCCGCGAGAGACUGGCCAGCUAGAGGGCCGGAGAGGGUAGUGGAAUUCCCGGUGUAGCGGUGAAAUGCGUAGAGAUCGGGAGGAACACCAGUGGCGAAGGCGGCUACCUGGACGGUACCUGACGCUGAGGCACGAAAGCUGGGGGAGCAAACAGGAUUAGAUACCCUGGUAGUCCCAGCCGUAAACGAUGGACGCUAGGUGUGGGCAGGCAGCCCCUGCCCGUGCCGGAGUUUACACAAUAAGCGUCCCGCCUGGGGAGUACGGCCGCAAGGCUGAA
rnacentral:rRNA from 1 species